rnacentral:rRNA from 1 species
AUUGAACGCUGGCGGCAGGCUUAACACAUGCAAGUCGAGCGGAGUGAUGGUGCUUGCACUAUCACUUAGCGGCGGACGGGUGAGUAAUGCUUAGGAAUCUGCCAUUUAGUGGGGGACAACAUUCCGAAAGGAAUGCUAAUAACGCAUACGUCCUACGGGAGAAAGCAGGGGAUCUUCGGACCUUGCGCUAAAUGAUGAGCCUCAGUCGGAUUAGCUAGUUGGUGGGGUAAAGGCCUACCAAGGCGACGAUCUGUAGCGGGUCUGAGAGGAUGAUCCGCCACACUGGGACUGAGACACGGCCCAGACUCCUACGGGAGGCAGCAGUGGGGAAUAUUGGACAAUGGGCGCAAGCCUGAUCCAGCCACGCCGCGUGUGUGAAGAAGGCCUUCGGGUUGUAAAGCACUUUCAGCGAGGAGGAAGGGUGGUGUGUUAAUAGCACAUCAUUUUGACGUUACUCGCAGAAGAAGCACCGGCUAACUCUGUGCCAGCCGCCGCGGUAAGAC